UACAGAGGUCUCAAGCGUUGUUCGGAUUCAUUGGGCGUAAAGGGUGCGUAGGUGGUGAUGCAAGUCUGGUGUGAAAUCUCGGAGCUCAACUCCGAAAUUGCACCGGAUACUGCGGGUCUCGAGUCCGGGAGAGGUGAGUGGAAUUCCUAGUGUAGAGGUGAAAUUCGUAGAUAUUAGGAAGAACACCAGUGGCGAAGGCGGCUCACUGGCCCGGUACUGACGCUGAGGCGCGAAAGCGUGGGGAGCAAACAGG
rnacentral:rRNA from 1 species